rnacentral:rRNA from 1 species
GGCAAGCGUUAUCCGGAUUUACUGGGUGUAAAGGGAGCGUAGACGGAGAGGCAAGUCAGAUGUGAAAUCCCUGGGCUCAACCCAGGAACUGCAUUUGAAACUGUUUUUCUUGAGUGCCGGAGAGGUAAGCGGAAUUCCUAGUGUAGCGGUGAAAUGCGUAGAUAUUAGGAGGAACACCAGUGGCGAAGGCGGCUUACUGGACGGUAACUGACGGUGAG